UUCAUUCAUUCAUUCUUUCUUUCUUUCUUUAUUAUUUAUUAUGUAUACAACAUUCUGCUUCCAUGUAUAUCUACACACCAGAAGAGGGCACCAGAUCUCAUAACAGAUGGUUGUGAGCCACCAUAUGGUUGCUGGGAUUUGAACUCAGGACCUCUGAAAGAACAGUCAGUGCUUUUAACCUCUGAGCCAUCUCUCCAGCCCAUGGCUCAUCAUCCUUAAUGACCAAUCACAAGCUGCCUGUUUAGAACAGCUUUGUGGCAACUGAGUUUUCUGACACCUAAACCCACUAAGAGUUGAAAAAGGCUCCAUGGUGCUACAAAGAAACAUUCUCAAUGUCGUUCGAAACAAAGGUAACUCAACAAGGCAACUUCUUUUUGUGAAAAUGGCUCCCCAUGACCCCAACCAAGCUAGCAAAGCACUCAGGGUCAGGAAGUCACUUUGCUUUUGUUUUUCAACACAGGUGCCAACAGUGUCUUUCCCCCUAUUGCCUGGGUGUAAUGUCACAGUCCUUUGAGACAGACUAGUUUUUAAAGAAUCGGAGCAAAGAAAAUGAUGGAAAGGAAAAUGAACUAGGUUGCUCUAGGCCAGUGGUUCUCAACCUUCCUAAUGCUGUGCUCUACCUGCUAUGGAAUAAUCCUUCUGUACUCUGUGAAAAUAUGUUGCUUUCAUUGUUAAUAAAAAGCAGACUGGAAAAUGGUUAGGCAGGGUUUGGGGGGCAGAGAGAAUGAUGGGCAGAAGGGUAGAAUGAGAGGGGAUGCCAUGAGAUGCAGAGCAAGCAGGAUGGGAAGUAUGUACAUGAGAUAAACAAGCCUUGGGGCAGUACAUAGAUGAAUAGAAAUGGGUUAAUUUAAGUUGUAAGAGCUAGCUAAAAACAAGCCUAAGCUAUUGGCUCAGCAUUUAAACUUAAUAUUAAGUCUCUGUGUGGUUAUUUGGGGAACGGCUGGUGGGACAGAAAAGUCUGCCUACAGUGACCCUUUAAUACAGUUCUUCAUGUUGUGGUGACCCCUAACCAUAAGAGUAUUUUCCUUACUACUUCAUCACUGUAGUUUUGCUACUGUUAUGAAUCAUAAUGAAAAUGUCUGUGUUUUCUGGUAGUCUUAGGGGACCCCCGUGAAAGGUCAUUCUAACCCUAGAGGGGUCUUGAUCACUGAUCUAGGCCAUCAAGUUCUAGGAAUUCAGAAGGGUCUUUGUGUAAACAGAAGUUUUUCUGGGUGGUGGACGUUGUAAGAUUUGAAUUCCUUUGCAUAAAAAGGUGGUUAUACCUUUUCGAGAUACAAUAAACACAAACACACACACACACACACACACACACACACAGACAAAAAUUCUCAUUUUAGCGCUCAAAGAACCCCACAAAAGUAUGGUUUUUGUGUGAAUCAUGUAUGUGUGCAGAGAUAUUUAUAUUUAUGUAGAGUGUGGAAUGUGUGGUGUGUGUGACAUGUUGUGUAUAUGUGGGGGGUGGAUGAUGCUUUCUUGUUGUGUGUGAUGUGCAUGAUCUCUGUGAAGUUUGGGCACCAAGGGAGUGCUGGCUUCAUGCACUAAAUGGGGGGAUUUUCCCCUUAUGCUCUGGAGAAGUUAAGUCACCAAAAGAACAUUUUUUCCUCAAAGGUUUAAAUUUAGUAACUUGUUGAGUGAUCUAAGACUAAGUAGUCCAUGGCAGCCCUGUCAAUUUCUUCCACAAAUUGCAUUUUUUUUAAAAAAAAUCUGAGUCAAUUUUAGUAAGAAUGUCUUUGAAAAUCAUCCAUUCAUUCUUGUGUAUUAGAAAAUUAGAAACAGCUGUUUUGGAUAUAAUAUCAAAUAAUAGUGCAGUAUAUUAAAAAGCUGUCCUCGAGUCAGUAUGAAGAGAAAGAGUUGAGAAGCAAUUUUGGCACCGAAAACACCAUAAAAUGGCCGGCAGAGGAAUAGGUCCCCCUGGGUAACUGCAUCGUCUUUGACAAACAAAAGUGGUGAAAUAUGUGUUUGGCGUAUUUACCAUGGCGAGAUAGACAGUAGAUAAACACAAAGUGAAUGUGAUCCUGAUCACGAGACUAAAUUCUUCCAACAUGGUGGCUCCUGGGAAAUCAUAGACGGCUUUCCUUGGCCCUGCUCCCUGUGCCCAGUGCACAUGCGCAGAUGGAAGCUAUGGGCAUGCGGCGAACUGGGCUUCAUGGAAUCGAAAAGACUUCAUGGAGAGAGAGGCUAAGAGUGAGGUGAAAAAAGUGCUUGUAUGGAUUGGGGGGUGGGGCGAGGGCUGUGCCUGAUCCUUGCUGGGUGGGAAGAAUGGGGAACCCUGUGCCUCUGACCUGGCUGGAUGCUUGUGAGGGAUUCCCUCCUUACACCUUCGGCUUAAGAAGAUGGUACCAGGUUAUUGUGCACGGUAGGGUGUGCGCAAGCACUCCCUGGCCCCUCGUGAGCACUGACUUUCCCUUCAAUUUGCUAAAGUCCUUGGCUUCGGUUUUCCCCAGAGAGAGCUCUAUUAUUGGGCUCCACAUUGGGGACAGUUUCUCCCUGACAGGGUGGGCCACUUCUCCAGCAUGGAGACUUUAAGACCAACCCUAAAUUCUCAAGGAGCUUAGAUGGGGACAUGAAAGCCCCACUCUUGAUAGUGACAGCCCAAUUACUUUGUGUUGGCGUGAUUUCCAGAGAACGCUUCUGUCCCCGGUCCUCCAGGGAACGUUAAAAUAAAAUGGGCUCCAUUCGGUUGGCUUUGCAGCCAACUGGAGCCGAUACAACUGCAAGGGAUGUCAUACCUGGAGAAAUGGGUCCCUGGAGGCUGUUGAGAAGAUACUUCGGGCACAGCAAGAUGUGAUGGUUGAUUUUACGAAGACUUGACUGGGCCACCGGGAGUCCAAUGCUAAGCUGUGGAUCUUCUUCCUGGCUGCUCAUUGCAGACUCACUGACUCUGCUAUUCCUCAAACUGUACUCUAGGGGUGUUUCUGAAGGCUUUCUGGUUUUCCAGCAAUCACACGUCGUAGUGGAAAGAGGUUUCAGAGCCAAACAGGCAUUGGUUCAAAACUACAAACAUGCCAAUUUUUCUGUAACCUUGAACUGGUUCGGAAACCUUUGUGAGCUCAUGCUCCCAUCGUCUACAAAGUCAGGCUAGCAGAUGGAGCCUGCACAGUUACCAGGGGCGUUAGAGACAGCAUCCAGAAUGCCAGCCAGGCUGUAGUGGGAGUUCUUAUGUCAGUUCCAUAGUUUUUUUAAAAGUAUAGAAUGAAAGAGCCAAGGACCCUCUGAAGAAUGUCUCACAAGAAUACAGCGAUCUCUCUGCCUCUGCCAUUAAAAGAGAAACAUUGUUUGGGAUCAAAAUGAAAAUCAUCCAACACGCUAAUACUGGCGAUUGCACUAAAAAUGAUUAACUUCAGCCAUGAGAACUGGAAGGUUCUGCAGAUAUUUGUGUAAUAUCUAUUACCACAGGACCACUGCCCCAUCCUAUCAGGAUAGUUGGGAUUCUGAAUCAGUAAGUCCAGAUGCUUCCAUGCCAGAUACCUUUGGGAAUAUAAAGGGGUUACCCCUCAGCCCCUGCUUUCUGGCAGAGGGCAUCCGAGUUGUG
ensembl:lncRNA